UACAACGGUUAAACUACUCCACCAGUCUUGGCUCGUCCGCCGUGCCGCGUGUUUACAAAAGUUGACUAUUUUUAAUAUUUCUUUACAAAUAUAUAUACGUGUCUGUAUAUAACAAAUAAUUAUUGGAAAUAUAAAUAAAAUAAAAUAUUUUCUUAGUAAUAAUUAUAAUUGAUUAUUUAUCUAAAUCGUGAUUUAUCUUAUUCCGUAUUUGGUGAUAAAAUCUUGAUCGAUAAGAUUGUUAUCAUAAUUACAAUUAAAGAUUACG